rnacentral:misc_RNA from 1 species
UAACAGUAAUUGUAACAGAUGAACUUUAUUAUUCUGCAAUGUUUGACCAUAUAUCAAAAACUUCAACAACUGGCAAUAUGCAAUUGCUUCAUGCUCUUAAAUGGAAAAAAUAAUAAUUUCUGUCCUAUUUCCUCCAGAAUCACAAACACAAAAUAUGAAAGCCUGAUUUCAAUGGUUGAAGUGAAUUUCUAGUUAGAACUUGGAAGAUCAGGAUCUGAGAAGAAGCCAUUGACGGAUGGCAUGAUCUGUGGAGGCCUCUUGCGGACAAACUUCCUUAAGCUAUGUUCUGCAUAUUUCUCACCCUCUGCAAAGUUCUCAAGCACUCCUGCUGCCCUGUUCUCUUUGGUCACCCUGACUUCUGGGUUGGUGCAGAUAUUCCUAACAAGCUGCAUCCCACAAAUGCCAACAGCUACACCAACAGCAGCAAAGAGCGGAAACACCUCAGGCCUGAUCCAUCUUGAAGUAGCCAUUGCAGAGAAAAGAACAGACCAAACAAGAAAUAACAAAAAGGAAGAAAACCCCUUCUCCAAGAAAACGUAGAAGUAGAAAGAGAAGGGGAAGAAAACAAGAAAACAAGAAAAAGAAAGGUUGAACGGAAUGAGUAUCACGGCAGUAGAGGCUAAUAUUGAGGAAUAUGAUUUUGAUACAAACUCCUAAAAUUUAGAGAAAUAAGAAUAUUAAAAGGAGAAAAGCAAGGAACAGGUCAGCAACGACCAGCGGCCGCCAACCAUCAAUGGUCUGUUUCCAUUAUGUUGGGGAAUCGAUACUUCGCAUUCAAGAAAGUCACGUUCUUUGACUUGCA